GCAAUCCUGAAAAGAUGGGUUUUGAGGGACUUCUUAAAGGACUGAAGACAAUGGGAGAGUCUGACAGGGGUAGACAGGCUGUUCCAAAGGAAAGGAGCUGCCAGUGAGAAGUCUUGCAGGCGUGAAUUUGCAGUAAGGGUGUGAGCAGUAGAAACAUAGAAUGUGUCGGCAGAUAAGAACCAUUCUGCCCAUCUAGUCUGCCCAAUUUUCUAAAUACUUUCAUUAGUCCCUGGCCUUAUCUUAUAGUUCGGAUAGCCUUAUACCUAUCCCACGCAUGCUUAAACUCCUUUACUGUGUUAACCUCUACCACUUCAGCUGGAAGGCUAUUCCAUGCAUCCACUACCCUCUCAGUAAAGUAAUACUUCCUGAUAUUAUUUUCGAACCUUUGUCCCUCUAAUUUAAGACUGUGCCCUCUUGUUGAC